GGGGAUGUACCGGUUUCGACAGGGGGCCUGCAGUUGGUGAAGCUAUCCGCAGCAAUGCGUUAACUUGCAAACCUAAAUAUAAACGCUGAUAAUAGACAAUUAGCAAUCGCUGCCUAAUGGCAGCUGUCAGCCUUAGAGCACCUGCACUCUAAGAUCCUGGCAUCAUUCUAUGCGGGAAACGACGUAUAUUAAGCUUUGCGUAUACGGGCGUAAUAUGAAGCUACCGAACGCGGCAGUGUGUCUGCUCACGGCCGCCGGAGGGAAUCCCAAAUAACAGACUAUGAUAGUAGAAGAACAAUGAAUAGCCUUUUGGACAUGGGUUCGACUCCCAUCAUCUCCAU
rnacentral:tmRNA from 1 species